AACGCACCUUGCGCUCCCUGGUAUUCCGGGGAGCACGCCUGUUCGAGUGUCAUGAAUACAUCAAAUCAGAUGCUUUAUUGUUGUCUUGAUUUGGAUUUGGACUCUGCUGUGUCAAUGCAGCUGGUCUUAAAUGUAUUAGCUGGCCCUCAUGUAGGUUUGGUUCUACUCGGCGUGAUAAUUAUCUAUCGCUGAGGACAUUCUUCGGAAUGGCCAGGCUCACUUAGGACUGCUUCCAAUCGUCUUUUGGACAAUUUAUCUUAAUCUGACCUCGAAUCAGGUGGGACUACCCGCUGAACUUAA
rnacentral:misc_RNA from 1 species